rnacentral:rRNA from 1 species
UACGUAGGCAGCGAGCGUUGUUCGGAGUUACUGGGCGUAAAGGGUGUGUAGGCGGUUGUUUAAGUUUGGUGUGAAAUCUCCCGGCUCAACUGGGAGGGUGCGCCGAAUACUGAAUGACUUCGAGUGCGGGAGAGGAAAGUGGAAUUCCUGGUGUAGCGGUGAAAUGCGUAGAUAUCGGGAGGAACACCAGUGGCGAAGGCGGCUACCUGGCACAUAACUGACGCUGAUAUGCGAAAGCGUGGGGAGCGAACCGG